rnacentral:rRNA from 1 species
GUCUACAGCCAUACUAUGAUAAGUACACCCAAUCUCCUCUGAUCUCAGAAGCUAAAUAGGGUCAGACCUAGUUAAUACUUGGAAGGGACAGACA